rnacentral:rRNA from 1 species
AUACGGAGGGUGCAAGCGUUGUUCGGAACCACUGGGCGUAAAGGGCGCGCAGGCGGUUUGGUAAGUCAGAUGUGAAAGCCCACGGCUCAACCGUGGAAGUGCAUUUGAAACUGCCAGACUUGAGUACCAGAGGGGAAAGUGGAAUUCCCGGUGUAGAGGUGAAAUUCGUAGAUAUCGUGAGGAAUACCGGUGGCGAAGGCGACUUUCUGGCUGGAUACUGACGCUGAGGCGCGAAAGCGUGGGGAGCAAACAGGAUUAGAAACCCUAGUAGUCC